AGAGACCCGCGCCCGCCCCCGGGCCCCGAGGUCAGGCUCCCCCGGCCGCGCCCUUCCGUAGCGCCCGCACCCGGGAAGCCGACCCGGCCCAGGGCCGCAGUCCAGACUCUGCCGCUUCCUCCCCGCUGUUCAGGUUGAGCAGUUGCCGGGAGCCCUUCCCCACCUGUGACGUUUCAUUUCAGAACCGACUCACACCCCCGCAGCGCCCCAGGUAACCGAUGUGUGCGGGGGAUAAAAAUCAACCGUGACGCCCAGAAUCCCUCGCCAGCCCGGGAGGAGAGGCCAUAAAGCACUGAGAGGGCCGGCUUGGGUCUAGAGGAAUCCAGGGCUGCGGGGACAAGGCCUCCGUUAAAGCAUCUUUGGCUCUGAGAUCAGGAAGCCGCCCUGCUAUCCCCAGCAGAACACCACUAUUUUCUUUUCUUUUUCCGUAGAUAAAAAAUAAAGCACACCUAAGCCAAAAAAAAGGCUCAUUGUUCAAUGCCCAUAUUUGAUGCAAGUAUUCAUCAUUCGUGCCAUUCAGAUGUCUUUCAGGGAUCCUUUUGUAAAAAUCAAGUUUGUUACUUUAAUUCCAGCAAAGGCCGCACACAGUGUGGUGUUGGCUUCAGGUGUGCAGUGUGGCGAUGCGAUGCGUGCGGGGUACUCUGCGCCCACCGCGGUAAGUACCUAUUACACCUAUUAUCUAUUUCAUCCA
rnacentral:lncRNA from 1 species